UCGAACGGCAGCACGGAGCAAUCCUGGUGGCGAGUGGCGAACGGGUGAGUAAUAUAUCGGAACGUGCCCAGUCGUGGGGGAUAACGUAGCGAAAGCUACGCUAAUACCGCAUACGAUCUAUGGAUGAAGCGGGGGAUCGCAAGACCUCGCGCGAUUGGAGCGGCCGAUAUCAGAUUAGGUAGUUGGUGAGGUAAAGGCUCACCAAGCCGACGAUCUGUAGCUGGUCUGAGAGGACGACCAGCCACACUGGGACUGAGACACGGCCCAGACUCCUACGGGAGGCAGCAGUGGGGAAUUUUGGACAAUGGGCGCAAGCCUGAUCCAGCAAUGCCGCGUGCAGGAUGAAGGCCUUCGGGUUGUAAACUGCUUUUGUACGGAACGAAACGGUGAGCUCUAAUACAGUUUGCUAAUGACGGUACCGUAAGAAUAAGCACCGGCUAACUACGUG
rnacentral:rRNA from 1 species